rnacentral:rRNA from 3 species
UCCUACGGGAGGCAGCAGUAAGGAAUAUUGGUCAAUGGGGGGAACCCUGAACCAGCCAUGCCGCGUGCAGGAAGACGGCCCUACGGGUUGUAAACUGCUUUUGCACGGGAAUAACCCCCGGUAUGUAUACCGGGCUGAAUUACCGUAGAAUAGAUCCGACCGCA